GACGAGGGGUCCAAGCGUUGUCCGGAAUUAUUGGGCGUAAAGGGCUCGUAGGCGGUUUGUCGCGUCGGGAGUGAAAUCCACUGGCUUAACUGGUGGCUUGCUUUCGAUACGGGCAGACUGGAGGUAUGCAGGGGAGAACGGAAUUCCUGGUGUAGCGGUGAAAUGCGCAGAUAUCAGGAGGAACACCGGUGGCGAAGGCGGUUCUCUGGGCAUGUCCUGACGCUGAGGAGCGAAAGUGUGGGGAGCGAACAGG
rnacentral:rRNA from 1 species